GAUGAACGCUAGCGGCAGGCUUAAUACAUGCAAGUCGAGGGGUAGCAAGAUUGUAGCAAUACAAUUGUUGACGACCGGCAAACGGGUGCGGAACACGUACACAACCUUCCUACAAGUGGGGAAUAGCCCAGAGAAAUUUGGAUUAAUACCCCGUAACAUAGCGAUGUGGCAUCACAUUGCUAUUAUAGCUUCGGCGCUUGUUGAUGGGUGUGCGGCUGAUUAGAUAGUUGGCGGGGUAACGGACCACCAAGUCUACGAUCAGUAGCUGAUGUGAGAGCAUGAUCAGCCACACGGGCACUGAGACACGGGCCCGACUCCUACGGGAGGCAGCAGUAAGGAAUAUUGGACAAUGGACGCAAGUCUGAUCCAGCCAUGCCGCGUGAAGGAUUAAGGUCCUCUGGAUUGUAAACUUCUUUUAUAAGGGACGAAAAAAGGUCUUUCUAGAUCGUCUGACGGUACCUUAUGAAUAAGCACCGGCUAACUCCGUGCCAGCAGCCGCAGUAACAC
rnacentral:rRNA from 1 species